CCGAUUGAUGCCCCAGCUUGCUGGUGAAUUAGUGCGAACGGGUGAGUAACACCGUGAGUAACCUUGCCCUUGGACUUCGGGAUAAACUCCGGGAAACCGGGGCUAAUACCGGAUAUGAGCUACCUUCGUCAUGGGGGUGGCUUGGAAAGUUUUUCGGUCAGGGAUGGGCUCGCGGCCUAUCAGCUUGUUGGUGGGGUGAUGGCCUACCAAGGCGACGACGGGUAGCCGGCCUGAGAGGGCGACCGGCCACACUGGGACUGAGACACGGCCCAGACUCCUACGGGAGGCAGCAGUGGGGAAUAUUGCACAAUGGGCGAAAGCCUGAUGCAGCGACGCCGCGUGAGGGAUGAAGGCCUUCGGGUUGUAAACCUCUUUCAGCAGGGAAGAAGCGCAAGUGACGGUACCUGCAGAAGAAGCGCCGGCUAACUACGUGCCAGCAGCCGCGGUAAUACAGUAGGGCGCAAGCGUUGUCCGGAAUUAUUGGGCAGUAAAGAGCUCGUAGGCGGUUUGUACGCGUCUAGGUGUGAAAACUCGAGGCUCAACCUCGAGCUUGCAUCGGGUACGGGCAGACUAGAGUGCGGUAGGGGAGACUGGAAUUCCUGGUGUAGCGGUGGAAUGCGCAGAUAUCAGGAGGAACACACGAUGGCGAAGGCAGGUACUCUGGGACGCAACUGACGCUGAGAGCGAAAGCAUCGGGAGCGGAAACAGGAAUUAGAAUACCCAUGGGUUA
rnacentral:rRNA from 1 species